AUUGAACGCUGGCGGCAGGCCUAACACAUGCAAGUCGAGCGGACGAAGGGAGCUUGCUCCUGGAUUCAGCGGCGGACGGGUGAGUAAUGCCUAGGAAUCUGCCUGGUAGUGGGGGAUAACGUCCGGAAACGGGCGCUAAUACCGCAUACGUCCUGAGGGAGAAAGUGGGGGAUCUUCGGACCUCACGCUAUCAGAUGAGCCUAGGUCGGAUUAGCUAGUUGGUGGGGUAAAGGCCUACCAAGGCGACGAUCCGUAACUGGUCUGAGAGGAUGAUCAGUCACAGUGGGAGUGAGACACGGUCCAGACUCCUACGGGAGGCAGCAGUGGGGAAUAUUGGACGAUGGGCGGAAGCCUGAUCCAGCCAUGCCGCGUGUGUGCAGAAGGUCUUCGGAUUGUAAAGCACUUUAAGUUGGGAGGAAGGGCAGUAAGUUAAUACCUUGCUGUUUUGACGUUACCAACAGAAUAAGCACCGGCUAACUUCGUG
rnacentral:rRNA from 1 species